ensembl:lncRNA
UGUAACGUUACAUGAGGACCUUCAUGACCAUGAGUUUGUUGUUUUCUACCUUUAUGGAGAAUCUUCCACAACACAGCGACUUGCAAGUAGCGCAGCGCCUUAAAUAAAGUCACGUGUGUCUUUAUGCGGCUUUAGAAAUGAACACAAAGGGAUUCUGUAUUUGCUCAUAAAGUCUGAAAAACGGCUUAUUUGGCCGAUGUUUUGAUAAGCGACCGAAGCCAGUUCAGUGUUUCCAUCAUUAUAACAGGGGUGCCCCCCCAUGAAGUAGUACAACGGGGAGACACUGCAGUCCACCUGAUCAAUGGGACAACGUGGACGUCCUCCGACUCGCCUCAUUCAGCCUCACUGGAAAAUGGCUUCUGCUUUUAUGUGUUACAGUUGUGUGAUAAAGUGUUUGCUGCCUUCCUGAUUCCUCAUUUCUUUCAUGUUCAGGCAUGAAAAUCCCUCACCUUUUUUGGGGGGGGGGUAUGGCAGCAAAUCACUUAAGGGGGCGGAGCCAGUCACCAUGGUCUCUACACCUGAUUGGUUACAAACCCCGUCUUUGGAUUGGCUGGAGUGAUGCAUUCACACAACUAUAGAAGCCCAUUUCCGCACUGAAGAAAGGGGAUAGAAAGUCUAAAUUAUGAGAUAAAACGUUGUGAAAACACAAACGCCACCUUUAUGUAACCGUAGUGGAGCGUAGAUGACAACCAGCUACAAGCAUCAUUUACCAUCAUUACCGGCACAUUAAGACCGAUGCGUCCAGCUGAAGACAUUCAGUCACUUGAAUAUCCAGAAGAAUAUGGAAGAGAUUCCACUGACAAGUGCUACAGGCGGAAUAUGUGGGGGGGCGGUUACAGGCCAGUGACUUUCUAUUCAGAAUGUUGGUCCCUGGGACAAAACCAGCUGAAAACCCCUAGAGGGGAAACAUCCGUCUCACCUUUUUCACCCGUGACCCGUUUUCAUGCCUGCAUGUCACACUUAAAUGUUUCAGAUCAUCAAACUAAUGUAAAUAUUGGACACAGAUAACGCGAGUAAACACAAAAUGCAGUUUGUAUCAUUAAGGGGAGAAAAGAAUCCAAACCUAAAUGGCCCUGUGUGAAAA